rnacentral:lncRNA from 1 species
UGUGAGGGGUGUCCUGGGUCUGGAGGUGUCCGUGUGAGGGACCCUGUGUGAGGGAUGCUCUGGGUCUGGAGGUGUCCGUGUGAGGGACCCUGUGUGAGGGAUGCUCUGGGUCUGGAGGUGUCUGUGUGAGGGACCCUGUGUGAGGGGUGCUCUGGGUCUGGAGGUGUCCGUGUGAGGGACCCUGUGUGAGGGGUGCUCUGGGUCUGGA